CUCCAUGAAGUUGGAUUCGCUAGUAAUCGCGCAUCAGCCAUGGCGCGGUGAAUACGUUCCCGGGCCUUGUACACACCGCCCGUCAAGCCAUGGGAGCCGGGGGUGCCUGAAGUUCGUGACCGCAAGGAGCGACCUAGGGCAAAACUGGUGACUGGGGCUAAGUCGUAACAAGGUAAC
rnacentral:rRNA from 1 species